rnacentral:rRNA from 1 species
GGGUUGUGAGGUUAAGCGACUAAGCGUACACGGUGGAUGCCCUGGCAGUCAGAGGCGAUGAAGGACGUGCUAAUCUGCGAUAAGCGCCGGUAAGGUGAUAUGAACCGUUAUAACCGGCGAUUUCCGAAUGGGGAAACCCAGUGUGACUCGUCACACUAUCAUUAACUGAAUCCAUAGGUUAAUGAGGCGAACCGGGGGAACUGAAACAUCUAAGUACCCCGAGGAAAAGAAAUCAACCGAGAUUCCCCCAGUAGCGGCGAGCGAACGGGGAGGAGCCCAGAGCCUGAAUCAGCAUGUGUGUUAGUGGAAGCGUCUGGAAAGGCGCGCGAUACAGGGUGACAGCCCCGUACACAAAAGCGCAUGUGCUGUGAGCUCGAUGAGUAGGGCGGGACACGUGGUAUCCUGUCUGAAUAUGGGGGGACCAUCCUCCAAGGCUAAAUACUCCUGACUGACCGAUAGUGAACCAGUACCGUGAGGGAAAGGCGAAAAGAACCCCGGCGAGGGGAGUGAAAAAGAACCUGAAACCGUGUACGUACAAGCAGUGGGAGCCCCACCACUAAGCCAGUGGUGAACUCCACAUACGCAUCCUUUGCUGAGGAUACGGUUAACGGAGCGAAAGCGACGUUCAACCGCAAAAGAAGCAGAGGGGGCUUAGUGGUGGGGUGACUGCGUACCUUUUGUAUAAUGGGUCAGCGACUUAUAUUCUGUAGCAAGGUUAACCGAAUAGGGGAGCCGGAGGGAAACCGAGUCUUAAUUGGGCGUUAAGUUGCAGGGUAUAGACCCGAAACCCGGUGAUCUAGCCAUGGGCAGGUUGAAGGUUGGGUAACACUAACUGGAGGACCGAACCGACUAAUGUUGAAAAAUUAGCGGAUGACCUGUGGCUGGGGGUGAAAGGCCAAUCAAACCGGGAGAUAGCUGGUUCUCCCCGAAAGCUAUUUAGGUAGCGCCUCGUGAAUUCAUCUCCGGGGGUAGAGCACUGUUUCGGCUAGGGGGCCAUCCCGGCUUACCAACCCGAUGCAAACUGCGAAUACCGGAGAAUGUUAUCACGGGAGACACACGGCGGGUGCUAACGUCCGUCGUGAAGAGGGAAACAACCCAGACCGCCAGCUAAGGUCCCAAAGUCAUGGUUAAGUGGGAAACGAUGUGGGAAGGCCCAGACAGCCAGGAUGUUGGCUUAGAAGCAGCCAUCAUUUAAAGAAAGCGUAAUAGCUCACUGGUCGAGUCGGCCUGCGCGGAAGAUGUAACGGGGCUAAACCAUGCACCGAAGCUGCGGCAGCGACACUCAGGUGUUGUUGGGUAGGGGAGCGUUCUGUAAGCCUGCGAAGGUGGCCUGUGAGGGUUGCUGGAGGUAUCAGAAGUGCGAAUGCUGACAUAAGUAACGAUAAAGCGGGUGAAAAGCCCGCUCGCCGGAAGACCAAGGGUUCCUGUCCAACGUUAAUCGGGGCAGGGUGAGUCGACCCCUAAGGCGAGGCCGAAAGGCGUAGUCGAUGGGAAACGGGUUAAUAUUCCCGUACUUGGUGUUACUGCGAAGGGGGGACGGAGAAGGCUAUGUUGGCCGGGCGACGGUUGUCCCGGUUUAAGCGUGUAGGCUGGUUUUCCAGGCAAAUCCGGAAAAUCAAGGCUGAGGCGUGACGACGAGGCACUACGGUGCUGAAGCAACAAAUGCCCUGCUUCCAGGAAAAGCCUCUAAGCAUCAGGUAACAUCAAAUCGUACCCCAAACCGACACAGGUGGUCAGGUAGAGAAUACCAAGGCGCUUGAGAGAACUCGGGUGAAGGAACUAGGCAAAAUGGUGCCGUAACUUCGGGAGAAGGCACGCUGACAC